CAAUAGCGUAUAUUAAAGUUGUUGCAGUUAAAAAGCUCGUAGUUGGAUUUCGGGGCAGCCUGGCUGGUCCGCCGCAAGGCGAGUACUGGUCAGCCGCCCUUCCUCUCGAAAGCCCCGACUGCUCUUUAUUGCAGUGGUCGGGUAGUUCGGGACGUUUACUCUGAAAAAAUUAGAGUGUUCAAGGCAGGCCUACGCCUGAAUACAUUAGCAUGGAAUAAUGGAAGAGGACCUCGGUCCUAUUUUGUUGGUUUCCAGGACCGAAGUAAUGAUUAAGAGGGACAGUUGGGGGCAUUCGUAUUUAAUUGUCAGAGGUGAAAUUCUCGGAUUUAUGAAAGACGAACAACUGCGAAAGCAUUUGCCAAGGAUGUUUUCAUUAA
rnacentral:rRNA from 1 species